AGCGAACGCUGGCGGCAGGCUUAACACAUGCAAGUCGAACGGGCAUAGCAAUAUGUCCGUGGCAGACGGGUGAGCAACGCGUGGGAACGUACCUUUUGGUUCGGACCAACACAGGGAAACUUGUGCUAAUACCGGAUAAGCCCUUACGGGGAAAGAUUUAUCGCCGAAAGAUCGGCCCGCGUCUGAUUAGCUAGUUGGUAGGGUAAUGGCCUACCAAGGCGACGAUCAGUAGAUGGUCUGAGAGGAUGAUCAGCCACAUUGGGACUGAGACACGGCCCAAACUCCUACAGGAGGCAGCAGUGGGGAAUAUUGGACAAUGGGCGAAAGGCUGAACCAGCCAGGCCGCGUGAGUGAUGAAGGCCGGAGGGUAGUAAAGCUCUUUUGUGCGGGAAGAUAAUGACGGUACCGUAAGAAUAAGCCCCGGCUAACUUCGUG
rnacentral:rRNA from 1 species